GACGAACGCUGGCGGCGCGCCUAACACAUGCAAGUCGAACGAGCGAGAGAGAGCUUGCUUUCUUGAGCGAGUGGCGAACGGGUGAGUAACGCGUGAGGAACCUGCCUCAAAGAGGGGGACAACAGUUGGAAACGACUGCUAAUACCGCAUAAGCCCACGGUGCCGCAUGGCACAGAGGGAAAAGGAGCAAUCCGCUUUGAGAUGGCCUCGCGUCCGAUUAGCUAGUUGGUGAGGUAACGGCCCACCAAGGCGACGAUCGGUAGCCGGACUGAGAGGGUGAACGGUCACAUUGGGACUGGGACACGGCCCAGACUCCUACGGGAGGCAGCAGUGGGGAAUAAUGCACAAUGGGGGAAACCCUGAUGCAGCGACGCCGCGUGGAGGAAGAAGGUCUUCGGAUUGUAAACUCCUGUUGUUGGGGAAGAUAAUGACGGUACCCAACAAGGAAGUGACGGCUAACUACGU
rnacentral:rRNA from 1 species